AGUCCCCCUGACCGGGGCCUGUCCGUAGCGGGUGCGAGGCCCAUAGCCGCCGCGGCCGACUCGAAUGCGAUCUCCUUGGAGUCGGGUUGCUUGGGAGUGCAGCCCUAAUCGGGUGGUAAACUCCACCUAAGGCUAAAUACCGCCGUGAGACCGAUAGCAAACAAGUACCGUGAGGGAAAGUUGCAAAGAACUUUGAAGAGAGAGUUCAAGAGUACGUGAAACUGCUCARAGGUAAACGGGUGGGCCCUCGAAAUCCUGUGGCGAGAGGAUUCAGUCUGGCUCGGCCGACUCGCGGGAGGAAAAAUCCGAGCAGGGCUUCCGCAUCACGCGGGCCGUCCUCCCGCGCAGAACUCGUCCGGUACAGACGCAUUUGUCUCUCGUCCCGAGGACGCUGCAGCCGGUCUGGAAGCUUGCAAGCGCGACGGCCUGAAGGUCGGGAGCCGGAAGGUGGCCGGUGGCUCGCCCCGUGCGGGUCGCCGGUUGUUAGCCGUCCCGACAGUGGCUCGUCUCCAGACCGUGGUGUCGCGAGUCCCUUCGGGGACUCCUCGUCUCCACCCCCACGGUAGCAGGACAGAACCCGGCCAGGGAGUUCGGCGCUGACCGCCGCACUUCCACGGAGUGGGCGGACGGGCUGGGACGCCCGAAUCGCCGGGACGGGCCUGCGGGGGACCGGAGGCUGGCAGCGAGUAGGUCGGUCACCCACCCGACCCGUCUUGAAACACGGACCAAGGAGUCUAACAUGUGCGCGAGUCAGUGGGUCUUGACUAGGCCCACGGGCGCAAUGAAAGCGAAGGGCUUCCGAGCGGAGUCCGAGUGGGGAUCCCCGNNNNNNNNAAGGUCGGGGCGCACCCGCGACCCGUCCUAUCCGGCUCGCCGGUUGGGCGGAGUCUGAGCGUACACG
rnacentral:rRNA from 1 species